rnacentral:rRNA from 1 species
UACGUAGGGGGCAAGCGUUGUCCGGAAUCAUUGGGCGUAAGGAGCGUGUAGGCGGCUCGAUAAGUCUGCUGUGAAAGUCAGGCUCAACCCUGGAAGGCCGGUGGAAACUGUCGGGCUAGAGUCCGGAAGAGGCGAGUGGAAUUCCCGGUGUAGCGGUGAAAUGCGCAGAUAUCAGGAGGAACACCAGCGGCGAAGGCGGGUUGCUGGGCCGACACUGACGCUGAAGCGCGAAAGCUAGGGGAGUGAACGGG